CCAUGCCGCGUGCAGGAUGCGGUCCUAUGGAUUGUAAACUGCUUUUGUACAGGAAGAAACCCUGGCUCGUGAGCCAGAUUGACGGUACUGUANAGAAUAAGGAUCGGCUAACUCCGUGCCAGCAGCCGCGGUAAUACGGAGGAUCCAAGCGUUAUCCGGAAUCAUUGGGUUUAAAGGGUCCGUAGGCGGCCUAGCAAGUCAGUGGUGAAAUCUCCCCGCUCAACGGGGAAACGGCCAUUGAUACUACUAGGCUUGAAUUAUUAGGAAGUAACUAGAAUAUGUAGUGUAGCGGUGAAAUGCUUAGAUAUUACAUGGAAUACCAAUUGCGAAGCAGGUUACUACUAAUGGAUUGACGCUGAUGGACGAAAGCGUGGGGAGCGACAGGAUUAGAUACCUGGUAGUCCACGCCGUAAACGAUGGAUCUACUGUUGGGCGCAAGUUCA
rnacentral:rRNA from 1 species